GACCCAGACUCCUACGGGAGGCAGCAGUGGGGAAUAUUGCACAAUGGGGGAAACCCUGAUGCAGCGACGCCGCGUGAGUGAAGAAGUAUUUCGGUAUGUAAAGCUCUAUCAGCAGGGAAGAAGAAGGACAGUACCUGAGUAAGAAGCCCCGGCUAACUACGUGCCAGCAGCCGCGGUAAUACGUAGGGGGCAAGCGUUAUCCGGAUUUACUGGGUGUAAAGGGAGCGUAGACGGCGAAGAAAGUCUGAAGUGAAAGCCCGCGGCUCAACCGCGGAAUGGCUUUGGAAACUUUUUUGCUGGAGUACCGGAGAGGUAAGCGGAAUUCCUAGUGUAGCGGUGAAAUGCGUAGAUAUUAGGAGGAACACCAGUGGCGAAGGCGGCUUACUGGACGGUAACUGACGUUGAGGCUCGAAAGCGUGGGGAGCAAACAGGAUUAGAUACCCUGGUA
rnacentral:rRNA from 1 species